rnacentral:rRNA from 1 species
GAUGAACGCUGGCGGCGUGCCUAAUACAUGCAAGUCGAGCGAACGGACGAGAAGCUUGCUUCUCUGAUGUUAGCGGCGGACGGGUGAGUAACACGUGGAUAACCUACCUAUAAGACUGGGAUAACUUCGGGAAACCGUAGCUAAUACCGGAUAAUAUUUUGAACCGCAUGGUUCAAAAGUGAAAGACGGUCUUGCUGUCACUUAUAGAUGGAUCCGCGCUGCAUUAGCUAGUUGGUAAGGUAACGGCUUACCAAGGCAACGAUGCAUAGCCGACCUGAGAGGGUGAUCAGCCACACUGGAACUGAGACACGGUCCAGACUCCUACGGGAGGCAGCAGUAGGGAAUCUUCCGCAAUGGGCGAAAGCCUGACGGAGCAACGCCGCGUGAGUGAUGAAGGUCUUCGGAUCGUAAAGCUCUGUUAUUAGGGAAGAACAUAUGUGUAAGUAACUGUGCACAUCUUGACGGUACCUAAUCAGAAAGCCACGGCUAACUACGUG